CUGGCCUGCAGCCGCUGCUGCAGCAGGAGCCUGGGGACCAGCAGUGGGCAGAUGGGCCAGGCUGCAGCUUUGUAGGACUCAGUGACAGCUGGAGGGGCAAGGAGCAGCCUUUCCACCCCUCUCCCAGCACCCAGGGCCCUGACCUCCUUGAACACUGGCUCCUUGUCUGUCCAGUAAGGACGAGGAAUUGCUUGUCACUUUGGUGAUGCCCCCAAGAUACCCAAGAAGCCCCAUCUCCACCCAUGAGCUAGGCGGCUCACCCAUGCCGCACCUUCUGCCCCAGCUUUGGAGUGUGCUAGCCCACAUCAACAAGGCCAGCACCCCGCAGGGUCCUCCAGCUGGACCACCUCCAGGCAGGGCCACACAGGGAAGUGACUAGGGCAGGGCUCAGCUGCUGGGGUGCCAAGAAGGGGAUCCAUCCUAGCAAAGUACCAGCAGGGCGAAGACUGACAGGUCCAGACUGCAGUAGAAACACCCCCGGGGUGUCGGGGGCACAGUGGAUCACAGGGACAGCGACCGGUCACCAGGGCUCCGACCCCCCAGUGGAGGGACUCGGAGUGCAGUGUUUCAGUCCUAGGACAAGGGCCUGAGCUGAGAGAUCCACGGUGACCCCCAGCCUCAAUACCAUCCCUGCCAGACACCUCUUGCUGUGCAGGGAGCAGCGACAGGAAGAGCAGCCUGCCCAUCCUUAGUCCCUCCACCCGCCGGCCUCAGGCCUCGCUCCAGCUGUCCUCUGGUGUUCUCUGCCCAGCCUGAUGACCAUCAGCAGUCUGACUCAUUGGUGAGUUUUGUUUGGAUAGUUGGUUGGUUGAGGUUUUUUGG